rnacentral:sRNA from 19 species
AAAUUACCUCACGCCAGUGGGGUAGAGUAGCUGGAAUGGGGGCCAGCUGCUCACUUUAAAAAAAGCGACC